UGAAUAAAUGCAUAGACAUUAUUAGAAUAUGAUAUAUUCAUAAAUACGGAUAAAUAUAUAUUGUUUUGUAUAUCAUUAGAUGUGUACUAUUUUUUGCCCUAACAGAAAUUGAAUAUAUAAGUACCAAUAGUAAAAGGUUACAAUGUUAGUAUUAUCAUAGUUUAAGGGGGUCUUCUACCUUGGGGCCUCAUUUUUGAUACUGUUUUUUGAUAAUGAAUCCAAGGGAAACCAAUAAUUCAAUGAAGAUCCAGAAUUGCUGUAAAAAUCAUUGAAAUGAACAAACAAAUAGUCAAUUGAUCAAUUACUUUUCGAGAUAUUUUGUCAACCAGUUGCGAAAACUGAGAUGCAUUCAAAGAUUUUGAUGCAUUGAUCAUGGAAGAAAAGUUACUUACAAUCUAUCUGCAAUGCCAGGGCUAUAAAGUACCAUUUCAAUAUUAUAUUUCUAGUACAAACUUGGGAAAAUG